UCAUGUUUUUCUUACUCUUCCUAUUUAGUUACACACACGCAUAUUAUAAAGAUGUUUUGUGGUGUUCAGAGUGCCCCUGAAAGCAUCUCGUGUUGUACUAAUGACAAUGAGGAAGUGUCGUUCCCGGGUCAUGCAAAUGAGGAAGUGUCGUUACCAAAAUGGACGGACUAGAGAGCAUGCCUCACUCGCCCAACGUCAAUAUGGAGAUUGAAGGUUUCACACCAUCUCUUCAGCUGACAUUACUAUCCUGGUGGCGCUAAUGCGCUGCAAAUGAAACGCAAGGAAUGGAAAAAAAACACGUGCGAGUGGGCAACAUGGCUGUACAAAAGAAGAAGAAGAAGAACAUGGCUGAAAAGAUAAACACACCGGCAACACUUUGAGAUUGCCUGUUCAUCUUACCAGUCUUCAUCAAUGCAAUAACGGCAACGGGAAUGGCUCUGAGGACUUUGCAGUCUGCAUGCGUUUUAACCAGCACCAAGAAGAACCGAGAACCGCACAGAACUCAGCAGGGGACCCCAUUGCUUCCGGCGGCACGGCGGUCGAGUGGUCGCGCAGACCUCACAGCUAGGAGACUAGGGUUCAAUCCCACCCUCGGCCAUCUCUGUGUGGAGUUUGCAUGUUCUCCCUGUGCAUGCGUGGGUUUUCUCCGGGUACUCCGGUUUCCUCCCACAUUCCAAAAACUAAAAAUGCUAGGUUAAUUGGCAACUCCAAAUUGUCCAUAGGUAUGAAUGUGAGUGUGAAUGGUUGUUUGUCUAUAUGUGCCCUGUGAUUGGCUGGCGACCAGUCCAGGGUGUACCCCGCCUCUCGCUCGAAGACAGCUGCGAUAGGCUCCAGCACCCCCCGCGACCGUCGUGAGGAAAAAGCGGUAGAAAAUGAAUGAAUGUCUUGUCUAGGGGAGUUGUUAGAAGAAAUUUAACAGGUUUAGUAAGCUCCAACUACUGUGGAUAUUCACUUAUCAUGGUUGGGUCUGGAACCAAUUAACUGUGAUAAACAAGGGAUUAAUGUUGUGUCAAAGCGAUACAUGUCUAACAGUGUUCUUGAAAAUGUAUCAUUAUCUUUUAAGUUAUACAACAAACCAAGAAAAUCAACAGUCAUUGUAAAACAAAUGUAAAAAAACGGUAAUGGCUUUAUUGAGGCAAAAGGACAACCAGGACAUCCAUGUAGACAGCGUGACCUCUGUUCGUCUCAAUCAUCUCAAACCACGAUGGCGCCAUUCAAGACCUAAUGGAGGUUGAGCAGUUUGGCCUUGAAACCAGACUGGAACACAAUCCCAGAAGCCCAUGUCCUGAUCACAGAACCCGAAUUGGUCAUUACACGGGUUGAAGCAAGCAAACACUCUCAUUUCCUCAUGACAGUUAGUGUGUUAGAUCACUCUCCUUCACAAGUGACCUUUUCCACAUACGGUACAUGUUUCCCAACACGUGCUUUUUGCAGCACUGGAGAAGAUGCUUGUGUUAUGUUUGUGUAUGACAACCUGACCUCAUUUCAGGGAUGAGCACAAUCACUGUGCUGGUUGUCUCAUGCUGAGUAUUCUAAUGUGUUCUCCGUCUUUGCUAUGUUGUUUAUAAGCAACAUUAAACAUUCCCUUGCAUUGAUUUUCCGCUAACUUUCACAUUUCUUCUCCCAGUACAUUUUCAAUUCUUAUACUGUGUACUAUUUAUAAAGAGGCUUGAAAGCAGCUGUCAUACAAUGAGACUAAAGGUCUCAAACAUUAUUAACCCCUCCUAAACUCCGGUGCUUUAUUCAUUUGAAGAAAAUUACAGCCUCUCACAGUCAAUCAAUUUGCAGCUAGGUUCGUGAAAAAACAAUCUGUUUACAAACUGCGGUGCUCUUUACCUUAAAUGUACCGUUACAUCUUUUUGUUUCUGCACUGCACAGGAAUUGGACUUUAUGCCAGAUUACAGUUAAUACUAAGGUAAAUAUUUAGUUUGCCAUAGUCUGUAAGCUCUAAUUAAAGUACAGACCUGAAAUUAUACUUCCCGUUACAGUGUAAUAUAGCAUUGAUGCAAAACGGGUGGGUGUGAAUGUGAACAUACUCUCCUUACCAAACAGCGGUGUACUGUAAUGCUAAUUUUAAGGUAUUGUCUGCCAGAAUUGUCUUGCUUUUUCCACUUUUCUGACCUAUAAAUGUAGUUAGAAUGUUGUAUUCUCGU